UAACACAUGCAAGUCGAGCGGCAGCACGGGGAGCCUAGCUCCCUGGUUGGCGAGCGGCGGACGGGUGAGUAACGCGUGGGAAUCUACCCCUCGGUGGGGGAUAGCCCGGGGAAACUCGGAUUAAUACCGCAUACGCCCUACGGGGGAAAGCGGGCCUCUGAUGCAAGCUCGCGCCGAGGGAUGAGCCCGCGUCCGAUUAGCUGGUUGGUGGGGUAAAGGCUCACCAAGGCGACGAUCGGUAGCUGGUCUGAAAGGAUGGUCAGCCACACUGGGACUGAGACACUGCCCAGACUCCUACGGGAGGCAGCAGUGGGGAAUAUUGGACAAUGGGCGAAAGCCUGAUCCAGCAAUGCCGCGUGUGUGAAGAAGGCCUGCGGGUUGUAAAGCACUUUCAUCGGGGAGGAAAAGCGUCGGGUGAAUAGCCCGGCGUCUUGACGUUACCCGAAGAAGAAGCGCCGGCAAACUUCGUGCCAGCAGCCGCGGUAAUACGAAGGGCGCAAGCGUUAAUCGGAAUCACUGGGCGUAAAGGGCACGCAGGCGGCCAGGUAAGUCGGGUGUGAAAGCCCUGGGCUCAACCAGGAAUGGCAUCCGAUACUGCUUGGCUAGAGUCCGGUAGA
rnacentral:rRNA from 1 species